rnacentral:lncRNA from 1 species
GGCAGCCCAGUUCCUGGCGCGUUCAUACUACUUACAACUCCAUCUUGGUUCAUUGUUGCUUUCUCCAUGGAUACUUGAGAAUAUGUUGGACUUGAGCUCAAAUUUUGAGGGCUGAGGCAGUUUACCCUUUUCAAACUAGCAGACUAGCGGAAGUGAACGAGCGAGAGAGAGAUUUUCCGUUGUAUGAAUGAUCGCCCGGUACUUACCUGCUAGAAUAAGUAGGACCUUCUUUUUGGUUGAGGAGAACAAGCAAAAAAAUGCGGUUUCUCUGUCGAGAAUGUCCUCCUUUUCCUUUUUGCUUGGAAACCAGCUCCUCGAAUGGACCGGGGGCAUCUACAGGGAAUAUCUGUUCCGCGCUAAUCUGGCCUCUUUGUUUGUAUGAUGUAUCAUCGAUCAAGCAUCUUCUUCCCCUCGGAGGUCGAACCGUUCUUUAGGGCGCUGGGACUCGUCC